AGUAGAGUCAGCUAAUAAAGCUUUCGGGCCCAUACCCCGACAAUGUUGGUUUAAAUCCCUCCUAUACUA
rnacentral:tRNA from 1 species